GAUCUUGGUUCAGGAUUAACGCUGGCGGUGUGCCUAAUACAUGCAAGUCGAAUGGUAGCAAUACCAUGGCGAACGGGUGAGUAACACGUAGGUAACCUGUCUUUAAGCCGAGGAUAACCAUUGGAAACGAUGGAUAAUACUGGAUAGGACAUUUGAAGGCAUCUUUAGAUGUUUAAAGAUUUAUCACUUAGAGAGGGGCCUGCGGCGCAUUAGCUAGUUGGUGAGGUGAAGGCUUACCAAGGCGAUGAUGCGUAGCCGGACUGAGAGGUUGAACGGCCACAAUGGAACUGAGAACGGUCCAUACUCCUACGGGAGGCAGCAGUAGGGAAUUUUCGGCAAUGGGCGGAAGCCUGACCGAGCAACGCCGCGUGAACGAAGAAGUAUUUCGGUAUGUAAAGUUCUUUUAUUAGGGACGAAAAGACAGAUUGACGGUACCUAAUGAAUAAGCUCCGGCUAACUACGUGCCAGCCGCCGC
rnacentral:rRNA from 1 species